GCUAUGUUCUUCGUCGCACGAAUUGGUGAACUCGUCAUGGUUUAAUCCAAACAACGACAAGAGAUCACCGCUAAAUGCAUCAGCGGGAGUCGCAGUGAUGCCUCAAUGUGUUAGUUUCAUAUCGAGGGAAAAAUUAUAGAUCACCGAUCAAAACGAUGACAAAUUUCUUCCAUUUAAUCUACUUGAUGAUUGAUUUAUAUUCUUUGUUCGAUCGAAAGAUUUCUGCUUGUGAAGAAUUGAGGAUAGAGGGGGAAGAGGCAAAUGAUAGAGACAAACAUGAGGAAAUCGAGAAAACAAUAAGGAAUCCGAAGAAAACAUCUUUACAAAGAAUCUAAUGUAUCAUCCAUCACGCAUCGCUUUCUGUCGGGAAAAUAUCCAAUUGCAUGGAUCCAACUAAGGUCUGGAAUCAUGUCGAGGUGAUCAGUCCAACAACGAAAGACCAACACCGCUCCAAUAGGAUUUGGAGCAUGGAAGAGUCGCACUGCAUCGUCAUCACCUCAUCAUCAUCUCGAAGGAGGUGAAAGAGCUGAAAAGGGUGUGGCGCUUUGCCGAGUAACUUGCAGGCAGCCAUGGCUCCUCUGACUCCCAGAGUUGUCGUGCCGGUAGACGUGAAGAAGAAGCCCUGGGAGCAGAAACUUCCCCUUCACAACCGAUGGCACCCUGACAUACCCGCGGUAGCAGAUGUCACGGAAGGGGAGGUCUUCCGAGUCGAGAUGGUAGACUGGACUGGAGGUCGAGUUGGUGAUGACAACUCUGCCGAAGACAUCAAAUCCUUAGACCUCACAAUUACUCAUUAUCUCAGUGGCCCUUUAAGAGUGGUGGAUUCAAAAGGCAUUCCCGCCAAGCCUGGUGAUCUUCUAAUGGUUGAAAUAUGCAACUUGGGUCCACUUCCAGGUGAUGAAUGGGGUUAUACAGCAACCUUUGACAGAGAGAAUGGUGGAGGGUUUUUAACAGAUCACUUCCCCUGUGCAACUAAAGCCAUUUGGUACUUUGAAGGAAUAUAUGCAUACUCACCACACAUACCAGGAGUUCGAUUUCCUGGUUUGGCACACCCGGGGAUUGUUGGAACUGCACCAUCCAUGGAACUUCUAUGCAUAUGGAAUGAGAGGGAAAAGGAAUUGGCAGAAAAUGGCAUUGGAUUGCUGAAAUUAUGUGAAGUUCUACACCAACGCCCACUUGCGAACUUACCGACUGCCGAGAAUUGUCUCCUCGGAAUGAUAAAUGAAGGAACUCCUGAAUGGAAAAAGAUUGCAGAUGAAGCUGCAAGGACAAUUCCCGGAAGGGAAAAUGGAGGGAACUGUGACAUCAAAAAUCUCAGCAGAGGUUCUAAAGUAUAUCUACCAGUAUUUGUGGAAGGGGCAAAUCUCAGCACUGGUGACAUGCACUUUUCCCAGGGUGAUGGAGAAGUUUCAUUCUGUGGAGCGAUAGAGAUGAGCGGAUUCCUAGAACUCAAGUGUGAAAUCAUUAGGGAUGGAAUGAGAGAAUACCUGACACCAAUGGGCCCCACAGUUCUGCAUGUGAGCCCAAUCUUUGAGAUAGGGCCGGUGGAGCCGAGGUUCUCAGAGUGGCUGGUCUUCGAGGGAAUCAGCGUAGAUGAGGCAGGGCGGCAACACUUCCUCGAUGCAACAGUAGCCUACAAGCGAGCAGUCCUCAAUGCCAUCGACUACCUCUCGAAAUUUGGAUACUCCAAGGAGCAGGCGUAUCUGCUGCUGUCAUGCUGCCCCUGCGAGGGAAGGAUAUCAGGAAUAGUAGACUCCCCAAAUGCUGUAGCGACCCUUGCCAUUCCUACAUCCAUUUUUGAUCAGGAUAUAAGGCCAAGAUCUGGGAAAGUGCCAGCAGGACCGAGGGUGCUAAAGAGACUUCCGGAUGUCCUCAGGUGCACAUACGAUGGAAAUCUGCCGACGACACAAAACCCAUGCGGAAGCAUGUGAAUGCGAUGGGGAUCUCGGUUCAUGGUGUUCUUCGGAUUCUGCAUUGGCUCUUCAGCAUCCUAACUAUCAUACAAAUCUGUGGUCGUAGGCCUGUGUUCUUGGAGUUCUUAAAGACUACCAGCCAGCGGUGAUUGAAUUGGCUCGAGAAACUUCAAGGGAUGGUACGACGAUCGGAAGAUGUUUGAAGUGUCAUGAAUCACCAAGACUUUUGUCAGACACCAAGCGGCAUUCCAUUCAAGAGCGCAGACCAACUAGAACAGCAAACUGAAAUCGAACAUUCGACCAUGUCCAAAAGCUUCGUUUGAAUAUGAACUCAAAAUUGUAGCUCA